UGCGAAUAUUGCGCAAUGGGCGAAAGCCUGACGCAGCGACGCCGCGUGAGGGAUGAAGGCCUUCGGGUUGUAAACCUCUUUCAGCGCCGAAGAAGCGAAAGUGACGGUAGGCGCAGAAGAAGCACCGGCUAACUACGUGCCAGCAGCCGCGGUAAUACGUAGGGUGCGAGCGUUGUCCGGAAUUAUUGGGCGUAAAGAGCUCGUAGGCGGUUUGUCGCGUCUGCUGUGAAAACUCGGGGC
rnacentral:rRNA from 1 species